rnacentral:rRNA from 1 species
CCUACGGGAGGCAGCAGUGGGGGAUAUUGGACAAUGGGGGAAACCCUGAUCCAGCGACGCCGCGUGAGUGAAGACGUAUUUCGGUAUGUAAAGCUCUAUCAGCAGGGAAGAAAGAAAUGACGGUACCUGAGUAAGAAGCCCCGGCUAAAUACGUGCCAGCAGCAGCGGUAAUACGUCGGGGGCAAGCGUUAUCCGGAUUUACGGGGUGUACAGGGAGCGUAGACGGUAAUGCAAGUCUGGUGUGAAAGUCGGGGGUCCAACCGUCGGAUUGCAGUGGAAACUGGGUAUCUGGAGUGCAGGAGAGGCAGGCGGAAUUCGUAGUGUAGCGGUGAAAUGCGUAGAUAUUAGGAGGAACACCAGUGGCGAAGGCGGCCUGCUGGACUGUAACUGACGUUGAGGCUCGAAAGCGUAGGGAGCAAACAGGAUUAGAUACCCGUGUAGUC